rnacentral:rRNA from 1 species
GGGUUGUGAGGUUAAGCGACUAAGCGUACACGGUGGAUGCCCUGGCAGUCAGAGGCGAUGAAGGACGUGCUAAUCUGCGAUAAGCGUCGGUGAGGUGAUAUGAACCGUUAUAACCGGCGAUUUCCGAAUGGGGAAACCCAGUGUGUUUCGACACACUAUCAUUAACUGAAUCCAUAGGUUAAUGAGGCGAACCGGGGGAACUGAAACAUCUAAGUACCCCGAGGAAAAGAAAUCAACCGAGAUUCCCCCAGUAGCGGCGAGCGAACGGGGAGGAGCCCAGAGCCUGAAUCAGUGUGUGUGUUAGUGGAAGCGUCUGGAAAGGCGUGCGAUACAGGGUGACAGCCCCGUACACAAAAAUGCACAUAUUGUGAGCUCGAUGAGUAGGGCGGGACACGUGGUAUCCUGUCUGAAUAUGGGGGGACCAUCCUCCAAGGCUAAAUACUCCUGACUGACCGAUAGUGAACCAGUACCGUGAGGGAAAGGCGAAAAGAACCCCGGCGAGGGGAGUGAAAAAGAACCUGAAACCGUGUACGUACAAGCAGUGGGAGCCUCUUUAUGGGGUGACUGCGUACCUUUUGUAUAAUGGGUCAGCGACUUAUAUUCUGUAGCAAGGUUAACCGAAUAGGGGAGCCGAAGGGAAACCGAGUCUUAACUGGGCGUUAAGUUGCAGGGUAUAGACCCGAAACCCGGUGAUCUAGCCAUGGGCAGGUUGAAGGUUGGGUAACACUAACUGGAGGACCGAACCGACUAAUGUUGAAAAAUUAGCGGAUGACUUGUGGCUGGGGGUGAAAGGCCAAUCAAACCGGGAGAUAGCUGGUUCUCCCCGAAAGCUAUUUAGGUAGCGCCUCGUGAAUUCAUCUCCGGGGGUAGAGCACUGUUUCGGCAAGGGGGUCAUCCCGACUUACCAACCCGAUGCAAACUGCGAAUACCGGAGAAUGUUAUCACGGGAGACACACGGCGGGUGCUAACGUCCGUCGUGAAGAGGGAAACAACCCAGACCGCCAGCUAAGGUCCCAAAGUCAUGGUUAAGUGGGAAACGAUGUGGGAAGGCCCAGACAGCCAGGAUGUUGGCUUAGAAGCAGCCAUCAUUUAAAGAAAGCGUAAUAGCUCACUGGUCGAGUCGGCCUGCGCGGAAGAUGUAACGGGGCUAAACCAUGCACCGAAGCUGCGGCAGCGACACUAUGUGUUGUUGGGUAGGGGAGCGUUCUGUAAGCCUGUGAAGGUGGCCUGUGAGGGUUGCUGGAGGUAUCAGAAGUGCGAAUGCUGACAUAAGUAACGAUAAAGCGGGUGAAAAGCCCGCUCGCCGGAAGACCAAGGGUUCCUGUCCAACGUUAAUCGGGGCAGGGUGAGUCGACCCCUAAGGCGAGGCCGAAAGGCGUAGUCGAUGGGAAACAGGUUAAUAUUCCUGUACUUGGUGUUACUGCGAAGGGGGGACGGAGAAGGCUAUGUUGGCCGGGCGACGGUUGUCCCGGUUUAAGCGUGUAGGCUGGUUUUCCAGGCAAAUCCGGAAAACCAAGGCUGAGGCGUGAUGACGAGGCACUACGGUGCUGAAGCGACAAAUGCCCUGCUUCCAGGAAAAGCCUCUAAGCAUCAGGUAACAUCAAAUCGUACCCCAAACCGACACAGGUGGUCAGGUAGAGAAUACCAAGGCGCUUGAGAGAACUCGGGUGAAGGAACUAGGCAAAAUGGUGCCGUAACUUCGGGAGAAGGCACGCUGAUAUGUAGGUGAAGCGACUUGCUCGUGGAGCUGAAAUCAGUCGAAGAUACCAGCUGGCUGCAACUGUUUAUUAAAAACACAGCACUGUGCAAACACGAAAGUGGACGUAUACGGUGUGACGCCUGCCCGGUGCCGGAAGGUUAAUUGAUGGGGUUAGCGGUAACGCGAAGCUCUUGAUCGAAGCCCCGGUAAACGGCGGCCGUAACUAUAACGGUCCUAAGGUAGCGAAAUUCCUUGUCGGGUAAGUUCCGACCUGCACGAAUGGCGUAAUGAUGGCCAGGCUGUCUCCACCCGAGACUCAGUGAAAUUGAACUCGCUGUGAAGAUGCAGUGUACCCGCGGCAAGACGGAAAGACCCCGUGAACCUUUACUAUAGCUUGACACUGAACAUUGAGCCUUGAUGUGUAGGAUAGGUGGGAGGCUUUGAAGUGUGGACGCCAGUCUGCAUGGAGCCGACCUUGAAAUACCACCCUUUAAUGUUUGAUGUUCUAACGUUGGCCCGUAAUCCGGGUUGCGGACAGUGUCUGGUGGGUAGUUUGACUGGGGCGGUCUCCUCCUAAAGAGUAACGGAGGAGCACGAAGGUUGGCUAAUCCUGGUCGGACAUCAGGAGGUUAGUGCAAUGGCAUAAGCCAGCUUGACUGCGAGCGUGACGGCGCGAGCAGGUGCGAAAGCAGGUCAUAGUGAUCCGGUGGUUCUGAAUGGAAGGGCCAUCGCUCAACGGAUAAAAGGUACUCCGGGGAUAACAGGCUGAUACCGCCCAAGAGUUCAUAUCGACGGCGGUGUUUGGCACCUCGAUGUCGGCUCAUCACAUCCUGGGGCUGAAGUAGGUCCCAAGGGUAUGGCUGUUCGCCAUUUAAAGUGGUACGCGAGCUGGGUUUAGAACGUCGUGAGACAGUUCGGUCCCUAUCUGCCGUGGGCGCUGGAGAACUGAGGGGGGCUGCUCCUAGUACGAGAGGACCGGAGUGGACGCAUCACUGGUGUUCGGGUUGUCAUGCCAAUGGCACUGCCCGGUAGCUAAAUGCGGAAGAGAUAAGUGCUGAAAGCAUCUAAGCACGAAACUUGC